GACGUGAGUGGCGAGCGUUAUCCGGAAUUACUGGGCGUAAAGCGCGCGUAGGCGGUUAUGUAAGUCAGAGGUGAAAAGUCAGGGCUUAACCUUGGCCUUGCCUUUGAAACUACAUGACUAGAGUACUGGAUAGGAGGGCGGAACUACAAGUGUAGCGGUGGAAUGCGUAGAUAUUUGUAGGAAUGCCGAUGACGAAGGUAGCUCUCUGGACAGAUACUGACGCUGAGGUGCGAAAGCUAGGGGAGCAAACAGG
rnacentral:rRNA from 1 species